rnacentral:rRNA from 1 species
CUCGCGGAAGGAUCAUUA